AUGGUGCUUGCAUGGAACUGUCGAGGUCUCGGGCAGCCUCGUACAGUUCAAGAACUAGUGUGCCUCGUGCACACAUACAAGCCCAAGCUCGUCUUCCUCUCUGAAAUGCAGCAGAACAAUAAGUAUGUUAGGAAUAUCAAGUGGAGGCUCGGACUCCGUCAUUGUAUCACGCAACCCGACAUAGGAAAAGUUGUCGUCAUUGCCCUCUUUUAUGAUGAGAAUGUUGAAAUAAAAUAG
rnacentral:rRNA from 1 species